AUACGGAGGGUGCGAGCGUUAAUCGGAAUUACUGGGCGUAAAGCGUACGUAGGCGGUUUGUUAAGUUAGAUGUGAAAGCCCCGGGCUUAACCUGGGAACUGCAUUUAAAACUGGCAGACUAGAGUUUGAUAGAGGAGAGUGGAAUUUCAGGUGUAGCGGUGAAAUGCGUAGAGAUCUGGAGGAACAUCAGUGGCGAAGGCGACUCUCUGGAUUAAAACUGACGCUGAGGUACGAAAGCGUGGGUAGCAAACAGGAUUAGAUACCCUAGUAGUCC
rnacentral:rRNA from 1 species